rnacentral:rRNA from 1 species
UACGUAGGGUGCGAGCGUUAAUCGGAAUUACUGGGCGUAAAGCGUGCGCAGGCGGCUUCGCAAGUCAGACGUGAAAUCCCCGGGCUUAACCUGGGAAUGGCGUUUGAAACUACGGAGCUGGAGUGUGGCAGAGGGAGGUAGAAUUCCACGUGUAGCGGUGAAAUGCGUAGAUAUGUGGAGGAAUACCGAUGGCGAAGGCAGCCCCCUGGGCCAAUACUGACGCUCAGGCACGAAAGCGUGGGGAGCAAACAGG